AAAAGCUGAGCCUCUCUCCUGCGGAUAAACAAGGCGGCGAUCUCGUUUUUAAAUGUCUCAAGGACUUCCACGGAGACCUCGUCAAGAAGCGUCGCAAGCCCUAACGUCAUCUUAGAAGACAGCGGCGAGCUCUCUAGUCUCAAGAAAGGAGGUUACACAACU
rnacentral:lncRNA from 1 species